rnacentral:rRNA from 1 species
GAUGAACGCUGGCGGCGUGCCUAAUACAUGCAAGUCGAGCGAACGGACGAGAAGCUUGCUUCUCUGAUGUUAGCGGAGGACGGGUGAGUAACACGUGGAUAACCUACCUAUAAGACUGGGAUAACUUCGGGAAACCGGAGCUAAUACCGGAUAAUAUUUUGAACCGCAUGGUUCAAAAGUGAAAGACGGUCUUGCUGUCACUUAUAGAUGGAUCCGCGCUGCAUUAGCUAGUUGGUAAGGUAACAGCUUACCAAGGCAACUAUGCAUAGCCGACCUGAGAGGGUGAUCGGCCACACUGGAACUGAGACACGGUCCAGACUCCUACGGGAGGCAGCAGUAGGGUAUCUUCCGCAAUGGUCGAAAGCCUUACGGAGCAACGCCGCGUGAGUGAUGAAGGUCUUCGGAUCGUAAAACUCUGUUAUUAGGGAAGAACAUAUGUGUAAGUAACUGUGCACAUCUUGACGGUACCUAAUCAGAAAGCCACGGCUAACUACGUG